GGGGGGGGGGUAGGGCACUAAAAGAAAAAUUUGGACCAUUUUAAAGAGAUUGUGACGGGCAACGACUAUAUAGGUGUUGUGGAAGAGACAUUGGCGCAUCGUUUAAGAAAAUCUCCAGAGUGGUUUAUGUUCGAAAAUCUGAUGUUACGGUUAAAAAACUGAAAAUUUUAUUGUGAAAUUGACAAAAUGAAAUUAGGGGGGUAGGGCACUAAAAGAAAAAUUUGGACCAUUUUAAAGAGAUUGUGACGGGCAACGACUAUAUAGGUGUUGUAGAGGAUACAUUGGCGCAUCGUUUAGGAAAAUCUCCAGAGUGGUUUAUGUUCGAAAAUCUGAAGUUACGGUUAAAAAACUGAAAAUUUUAUUGUGAAAUUGACAAAAUGAGAUUAGGGGGGGUAGGGCACUAAAAGAAAAAUUUGGACCAUUUUAAAGAGAUUGUGACGGGCAACGACUAUAUAGGUGUUGUAGAGGAGACAUUGGCGCAUCGUUUAAGAAAAUCUCCAGAGUGGUUUAUGUUCGAAAAUCUGAAGUUGCGGUUAAAAAAAUGAAAUUGUGAAAUUGACAAAAUGAGAUUAGGGGGGUAGGGCAAUUUAAGUUAAUUUUGGACCAUUUUAAAGAGAUUGUGACGGGCAACGACUAUAUAGGUGUUGUGGAAGAGACAUUGGCGCAUCGUUUAAGAAAAUCUCCAGAGUGGUUUAUGUUCGAAAAUCUGAAGUUACGGUUAAAAAACUGAAAAUUUUAUUGUGAAAUUGACAAAAUGAAAUUAGGGGGGUAGGGCACUAAAAGAAAAUUUUGGACCAUUUUAAAGAGAUUGUGACGGGCAACGACUAUAUAGGUGUUGUAGAGGAGACAUUGGCGCAUCGGUUAAGAAAAUCUCCAGAGUGGUUUAUGUUUGAAAAUUUGAAGUUACGGUUAAAAAACUGAAAUUGUGAAAUUGACAAAAUGAGAUUAGGGGGGUAGGCCAAUUUAAGUUAAUUUUGGACCAAUUUUAAGAGAUUAUGACGGGCAACGACUAUAUAGGUGUUGUAAAGGAGACAAUGGCGCAUCGUUUAAGAAAAUCUUCAGAGUGGUUUAUGUUCGAAAAUCUGAAGUUACGGUUAAAAAACUGAAAAUUUUAUUGUGAAAUUGACAAAAUGAGAUUAGGGGGGUAGGGCACUAAAAGAAAAAUUUGGACCAUUUUAAAGAGAUUGUGACGGGCAACGACUAUAUAGGUGUUGUAGAAGAGACAUUGGCGCAUCGUUUAAGAAAAUCUCCAGAGUGGUUUAUGUUCGAAAAUCUGAAGUUACGGUUAAAAAACUGAAAAUUUUAUUGUGAAAUUGACAAAAUGAGAUUGGGGGGGUAGGGCACUAAAAGAAAAAUUUGGACCAUUUUAAAGAGAUUGUGACGGGCAACGACUAUAUAGGUGUUGUAGAAGAGACAUUGGCGCAUCGUUUAAGAAAAUCUCCAGAGUGGUUUAUGUUCGCAAAUCUGAAGUUGCGGUUAAAAAAAUGAAAUUGUGAAAUUGACAAAAUGAGAUUAGGGGGGGUAGGGCAAUUUAAGUUAAUUUUGGACCAUUUUAAAGAGAUUGUGACGGGCAACGACUAUAUAGGUGUUGUGGAAGAGACAUUGGCGCUUCGUUUAAGAAAAUCUCCAGAGUGGUUUAUGUUCGAAAAUCUGGAGUUACGGUUAAAAAACUGAAAUUGUGAAAUUGACAAAAUGAGAUUAAGGGGGUAGGCCAAUUUAAGUUAAUUUUGGACCAAUUUCAAGAGAUUGUGACGGGCAACGACUAUAUAGGUGUUGUAAAGGAGACAAUGGCGCAUCGUUUAAGAAAAUCUUCAGAGUGGUUUAUGUUCGAAAAUCUGAAGUUACGGUUAAAAAACUGAAAAUUUUAUUGUGAAAUUGACAAAAUGAGAUUAGGGGGGUAGGGCACUAAAAGAAAAAUUUGGACCAUUUUAAAGAGAUUGUGACGGGCAACGACUAUAUAGGUGUUGUAGAAGAGACAUUGGCGCAUCGUUUAAGAAAAUCUCCAGAGUGGUUUAUGUUCGAAAAUCUGAAGUUACGGUUAAAAAACUGAAAAUUUUAUUGUGAAAUUGACAAAAUGAGAUUGGGGGGGUAGGGCACUAAAAGAAAAAUUUGGACCAUUUUAAAGAGAUUGUGACGGGCAACGACUAUAUAGGUGUUGUAGAAGAGACAUUGGCGCAUCGUUUAAGAAAAUCUCCAGAGUGGUUUAUGUUCGCAAAUCUGAAGUUGCGGUUAAAAAAAUGAAAUUGUGAAAUUGACAAAAUGAGAUUAGGGGGGUAGGGCAAUUUAAGUUAAUUUUGGACCAUUUUAAAGAGAUUGUGACGGGCAACGACUAUAUAGGUGUUGUGGAAGAGACAUUGGCGCUUCGUUUAAGAAAAUCUCCAGAGUGGUUUAUGUUCGAAAAUCUGGAGUUACGGUUAAAAAACUGAAAUUGUGAAAUUGACAAAAUGAGAUUAAGGGGGUAGGCCAAUUUAAGUUAAUUUUGGACCAAUUUCAAGAGAUUGUGACGGGCAACGACUAUAUAGGUGUUGUAGAGGAGACAAUGGCGCAUCGUUUAAGAAAAUCUCCAGAGUGGUUUAUGUUCGAAAAUCUGAAGUUACGGUUAAAAAACUGAAAAUUUAUUGUGAAAUUGACAAAAUGAGAUUGGGGGGGUAGGGCACUAAAAGAAAAAAUUGGAUCAUUUUAAAGAGAUUGUGACGGGCAACGACUAUAUAGGUGUUGUAGAAGAGACAUUGGCGCAUCGUUUAAGAAAAUCUCCAGAGUGGUUUAUGUUCGAAAAUCUGAAGUUGCGGUUAAAAAAAUGAAAUUGUGAAAUUGACAAAAUGAGAUAAGGAGGGUAGGGCAAUUUAAGUUAAUUUUGGACCAUUUUAAAGAGAUUGUGACGGGCAACGACUAUAUAGGUGUUGUAGAAGAGACAUUGGCGCAUCGUUUAAGAAAAUCUCCAGAGUGGUUUAUGUUCGAAAAUCAGAAGUUUCGGUUCAAAAACUGAAAAUUUUAUUGUGAAAUUGACAAAAUGAGAUUAGGGGGGUAGGGCACUAAAAGAAAAAUUUGGACCAUUUUAAAGAGAUUGUGACGGGGAACGACUAUAUAGGUGUUGUAGAGGAGUCAUUGGCGCAUCGGGUGAACGUAUAUUUAUCUCCGAGCUUCGUUGAGGAUAAUAGGGUAAUAGCUAAACUUCUGAUAAAUUUUGUCAAAUUAUUUGACUGAGAAAAUUUCAAUUUGUUUUUUUUUACAAAUAAUGGAAAAUAUGAGAGAACAGUAAUACAAAAACGAAAUUUAAAACACAACUUUGAUUUGAAUUUAAAAUUUUAAUUGGUGUUUACAUCAAUGUUUAUCUUAUUAUCUGUCCGAACUCGGCAUCUGUAAAAUUCAUAAAUUUUAUGGGGACGAUACGCAAGUUUAUGGCAAGAGUUGAUAGAUGUUCGUCUGUGGUAGCUAAUAACGGUUUAUUAUCUUUCUCAUGAACUAGGAUGCACGUGUUCCAAUUUUAGUGUUUGUCAACUUUUAAUUUAAUCAGUUGUUUCUAGAUUUUAUAAGUAUUAGCUGUGCAAUAUCGAACUUAUAUUUUUUUAGAAAAUAAAUACUUUUACAUUCACUCGCGUGUGAAAUAAUUCUAGUGAAUAUGUUACGGUGCUGAAAAACUGUCACUACGUCCACAGUACUUUCAUAGUCAGUUUUUUUUCUAGUGUACAAAGUUUGACGUGCGGUAUUGUUUGAAUAUUUGAACAGUGUAAAUUACAUUGUCAUAGUAAAGACAUGUUUGCAAAACAAAACUGAGCUCGACUGAAAGUGCUUAUGUGAAAAGUUGCUUAUAAUACGGGCCUCAGUCAGUGUAGCCCAAGAUGUCGAAGAAUCAAGAUUUCCGACUUUUCAGGGUAAGCCACAAUAUAAAGUUUUUAAUUAAAAAUAAGGAGAUGUGGUUAUCAUUUCCAAUGAGACAACUACCCAACAGAGUCCGAAUAACGCUUAUUUCAGCAAUUAAAUGUCACCGCCCGGCCUUUAACAAUAGCAAAACCCAUACCAUAUACUCGCUUAUAAUCGGCCUUGAAAUGACAAAAUGUGUGACAAUACAAACGAAAAAACUAAGGGCUUUAUUUAUAACAAGACAGAUGUAACAACCAGCAACCAACGACAACCACAGAAUAACAGACGCAUAACUUUGGACAGGCACAUACAGAUUAUUGCUGGGUUAAACAAUACAUGUUUGUGAGCGCUCAACAAUGGUGUAACAGUACACUAGAAAAAUAAAUUGGAAAAUUGAGUUGGAAAUGGCUUGAUCCUCUAGAUAGACACGAAACACAAAUAAAACAGUACCGUAGGUUUAUAUUAAACAUUGCAUUCCCAUACUUACAUUUCUUGUCGAAUUUUUAUAAAGAUUAUAGCGAAGGCUUAUAUCAGCAAGAUCUUUGAUGUGUACCAAUCAACUACUAUUAAUGGAGUUAUGCCCCUUGACAAUACUAUUUAUAAUAUAUAUAUAAAUAUGGAAAAUAAAGUGAGCGAUCUCAUGUAAAGAUAUUUAUAAAAGGCUUAAACGUUUAUUAUUGCCCUUGGACAGAUAAAAUAUGUGCAACGCGGGAAAACUGGAACUUUAUUUUUAAAAGUAUUUUAUUCGAUUUGUUUUCUUCAUUUUUAUACGCCCGUUUACGGGACGUAUUAUGGUAUACCGUUGACCGUCCGUCCGUCGUCAACAUGUCGGACAUUAACUCAAAAAAGCUUUAUUCAAUAUGCAUGAUACUUUGGUGAAUUGUUAAUAUAUAUUGACGUGAGCUCCCUUUCGUUUUUUAUAAAUAUCAGAUUUACCGUUUCCGAGUUUUUGGGUUUUAUUCAUAAAAAAGGGGGGAUUUUCCAGUUUUCCGACAAUAACUCAAGAAUGCUUUCACCAACUUGCAAGAAAUUUUGGUGAAUUGUAUAUGUCUAUUGACAUGAGCUCCCUUUAGGAUUUUUAUAAAUUUUAGAUUUAACGUUUCCGAGUUACAGGGUUUUAUUCAUAAAAAAGUGGGAUUUUCCAGUUUUUGGAUAAUAACUAAAAUAUACUUUCGGUAGUUCUCAUGAAACUUUGGUGAAUUGUUAUUAUCUGUUGAUGAAAGCUCCCUUUAGAAUUUUAUAAAUUUUAGAUUUUACAUUUCUGAGUUAUGGGGUUUUGUUCAUUAAAAAAGGAGGGAUUUUCCAGUUUUUGGACAUUAACUCAAAAAUGCUUUCAGCAGUUCUCAUGAAACUUUGGUGAAUUAUUUAUAGCUAUUGAUGUAAUCUCCCUAUUGAUUUUCAUAAAUUUCAAAUAUGACAUUGAGAAGAAAUUGAACUUUAUUUGUUUAUAGUCUGACAACAGAUUUACUAAGUAUUUCGCAACAGCACAGUGUAUUGCACAACAGCAAGAUAUCUUUAAUUAAAUAUAAAUUCAAUUCAAGUUCUUUGACUACAUUUAUUCAGAAACCUAUAAUAUGUCAAAUAUUUAAUUACAAUCCAAAUUCAGACCUGUAUCAAGCUUGAAUAUUAUUCCAUUUUUGCCCCAACUGGACCUCUGCGGGCGUAUCCAGCUGCGCUCAGCGAAGCAGUUUAUUUUUUUUGUUAAGGUAAAUGCAUAAAUAGAUUACAUUUAAGUCUGAAAAAUACCUUGAUAAACUUGGACGCCACUCGAUAAAAAGAACCAAACUGUUUUCGAAAAAACCCGGACAUAUACAAUAAUUUAAGUUCAAAAUCAACUUAUUUAUCCAAAUACAAGUAUUUCUGUAAAGUGUCUGUACAUUUAAUAAUAUAUGGAUUCCAUGAACUAAUUUUCUUUGAUUUGUAAAUUCGAAUGUGUAUUAAGGAUGUAGUCAGGUUAGGUUUAUGAAUUUUUGUCAAGAUGUUUGGACUCCUUGGGUUUUUUCAACGAUGCAGGGAAAAAGAUUUUGCCCCAUAUCACCUACUUUUCUUUCAUAGAAGACUUCUAUAGCUCAUAAAAGGUCAUUAUCGAAAUUUUAGGAGAUACCAAAUUUUUUUUUUACAAUUUGAGACCCAAAUUAUGCCAAUGCUAAAUAUAAGGUAAAACCCCGAGUCAUCCUGUUCCCCCAUUUAAAAAAAAAUAUCAAUCACAAAAAGGAAUUCUAUAACCUAUCAAUAUUUUUAUCUUAUUAUGCCCACGGCGUAGCGGAGGCGAAUUAAGCUUUUCCCUUGUCCGUCUGUACGUCCGUGCGCCUGUACGUCCCAAAUAAUGCAAAUGCUAAAUAUAAGGUAAAAGUCCGAGUCAUCCUUUUCCCUCAUUUAAAAAAACAUAUAUCACAAAAAGGAAUUCUUUAACAUAUCAAUAUUUUAGCUUAUUAUGUCCCUGUCGUAGCGGAGGGGCAUUAAGCUUUACCCUUGUCCGCCGUCUGUACGUCCGAAAUAAUGUCAAUGCUAAAUAUAAUGUAAAAGUCUGAGUCAUCCUUUUCCCACCAUUAAAAAAAAAUCAUAUAUCACAAAAAGGAACUAACCUAUCAAAAUGUUUAGCUUAUUAUGCCCCGCUGUAGCGGAUGUGCAUUAAGCUGCAUGUAUCCUUGUUCGUCUGAACGUCUGUGCGUCUGUACGUCCCAAAAUUGGUUUCCGUUCUCUAACUUUAGUUUGCCUUAACCAAUUGUCAUAAAACUUAUACACAAUGCUUAUUACCACAAAACACAGGUCACCUUUUUAUUUUGGAAGCGUAACUUUUACCGUUCUAGAGUUAUACUAUUUACAAAUAGAAAAAUUGCUGAAAUUCAUAACAAUACAGGAACAAAACAAGUUCUGAUGUAAAGUAUCAUAAGGAUGAAAAUUAAGAAUUGAUAAAAUACACCAGUUGGUAUUUCAAAAGUAGUUUUGUAGAUAAAUUGACUUGUGAUUACUAUGUAGAUUUCAAUCAAUAUAAUAAAGAGUUGGACCAAGUGAUACCGGGCAAACUGUUGGUUGCAGGUUGCAAUCGGCAAGUCAGUUGAAUAUGAAGAUAUGAAGGAGGAAAGAAAAUAUAAGUGUUUCACCAAAAACUUAUAUAUACGGGUAUAUAAUGUUCAAUUUGUGAGUAUUUGAAAGAUGUGUAAGAAUGUUUCGUAUUUUAUUUCCUUCAUUCGACUGAACGAAGGUUUGAAAUUUACUUGAAAUUGAUUCUUGCUGUUUUAAACUUAUAUGUAUGAGUGCCAUUAUAUGAUUUUAACAAUUAUGAGACAAAUAACAAAUGAUUUACCAGCGGUAAAAUUUUAGCUGCAGAAGUUAACUUGCUACGGAUAAAUAGCAGAAAAUGUAGAGAUUUCGAGAAAUCACACAUAGCAAUGUGUACGAAACAGAACCUUUUCAGGAAGAAAUACACGACUUUAUCAAAAUUCCACCGAAAGAAUUGUUAUGAAAAAUAAUGACCAUACCACCAGAGAAUUUUUUGUUGAUUUACAAAGUCAUUUAAAAGUGUGCAAAGUUUGCUACAAUUCUAUUACGUCCCUUCUUAAACUAUUUAUGUUAAAAGUUUUGUUAUUGUGUUGUGUUAUAUUAAAUAUGUAAUAUCACUUUUCAUUCAAUUUGUGUGUCCCCCCAACCCUGUUUCUUUAAUUCAAAUGUUUAUUGUCAUAUAAACUCUUAACGAUAAGUUAAUAAAACAUGAAUUUAAUUGAAAUCUUGAGACACAUGAUAGAUUAUCAUGAUAAUGAUUACAGAAAGCAAUUUAAAACAAUUUACCAAAUCUCUAAGGUUAGAAUUUUAU